rnacentral:rRNA from 1 species
CCCUUAGAUGUUCUGGGCCGCACGCGCGCUACACUGUUCGACGCAGCGAGUCUUAACCUUGACCGAAAGGUUUGGGUAAUCUUCAGCAAAGUCGAACGUGAUGGGGAUCGAUCAUUGCAAUUAUUGAUCGUGAACGAGGAAUUCCUAGUAAGUGCAAGUCAUCAGCUUGCGCUGAUUACGUUCCUGCCCUUUGUACACACCGCCCGUCGCUACUACCGAUUGAAUGGUUUAGUGAGAUCUCUGGAUUGACGCUGGCUAGGGGGCGACCCUUGGCCAGACUGCUCGAGAAACUGCUCAAACUUGAUCAUUUAGAGGAAGUAAAAGUCGUAACA